rnacentral:rRNA from 1 species
GACGAACGCUGGCGGCGUGCUUAACACAUGCAAGUCGAACGGAAAGGCCCUGCUUUUGUGGGGUGCUCGAGUGGCGAACGGGUGAGUAACACGUGAGUAACCUGCCCUUGACUUUGGGAUAACUUCAGGAAACUGGGGCUAAUACCGGAUAGGAGCUCCUGCUGCAUGGUGGUGGUUGGAAAGUUUCGGCGGUUGGGGAUGGACUCGCGGCUUAUCAGCUUGUUUGUGGGGUAGUGGCUUACCAAGGCUUUGACAGGUAGCCGGCCUGAGAGGGUGACCGGCCACAUUGGGACUGAGAUACGGCCCAGACUCCUACGGGAGGCAGCAGUGGGGAAUAUUGCACAAUGGGCGGAAGCCUGAUGCAGCAACGCCGCGUGCGGGAUGACGGCCUUCGGGUUGUAAACCGCUUUCGCCUGUGACGAAGCGUGAGUGACGGUAAUGGGUAAAGAAGCACCGGCUAACUACGUG